rnacentral:rRNA from 1 species
AUGCAGUCGAGCGAUGAAAUCUUAACAGAACCCUUCGGGGCGAAGAUAAGAGGGAUUAGCGGCGGACGGGUGAGUAACACGUGAGUAACCUGCCUUUUACACAGGGAUAGCCUCGGGAAACCGGGAUUAAAACCUGAUGAAACUAUCAAAUCACAUGAUUAAGAAAGUUAAAACUCCGGUGGUAAAAGAUGGACUCGCGUCCCAUUAGCUAGUUGGUGAAGGUAACGGCCCACCAAGGCAACGAUGGGUAGCCGGCCUGAGAGGGUGAACGGCCACAUUGGAACUGAGAAACGGUCCAAACUCCUACGGGAGGCAGCAGUGGGGAAUAUUGCACAAUGGGGGAAACCCUGAUGCAGCGACGCCGCGUGAGCGAAGAAGGCCUUCGGGUCGUAAAGCUCUUUUAUAUGGGAAGAUAAUGACGGUACCAUAAGAAAAAGCCCCGGCUAACUACGUGCCAGCAGCCGCGGUAAUACGUAGGGGGCUAGCGUUGUCCGGAAUCACUGGGCGUAAAGGGUUCGCAGGCGGCAAUGCGAGUCAGAUGUAAAAGGCAAAGGCUCAACCUUUGUAAGCAUCUGAAACUGUAUAGCUUGAGAAGUGUAGAGGCAAGUGGAAUUUUUAGUGUAGCGGUGAAAUGCGUAGAUAUUAAAAAGAAUACCGGUGGCGAAGGCGACUUGCUGGGCACAAUCUGACGCUGAGGAACGAAAGCGUGGGGAGCAAACAGGAUUAGAUACCCUGG